rnacentral:rRNA from 1 species
AUUCUGGCUCAGGAUGAACGCUAGCUACAGGCUUAACACAUGCAAGUCGGAGGGGCAGCAUGGAGUUUGCUUGCAAACUCUGAUGGCGACCGGCGCACGGGUGAGUAACGCGUAUCCAACCUUCCCUAUAGUAGAGGAUAGCCCGGCGAAAGUCGGGAUUAAUACUCUAUGUUUUCCGUUGCAGACAUCUAAGAUGGAACGAAAGGCUUGCCGCUAUAGGAUGGGGAUGCGUCUGAUUUAGAUAGUAGGCGGGGUAACGGCCCACCUAGUCGACGAUCAGUAGGGGUUCUGAGAGGAAGGUCCCCCACAUUGGAACUGAGACACGGUCCAAACUCCUACGGGAGGCAGCAGUGAGGAAUAUUGGUCAAUGGGCGAGAGCCUGAACCAGCCAAGUAGCGUGCAAGGAUGACGGCCCUAUGGGUUGUAAACUGCUUUUAUAUGGGGAUAAAGUCACCCACGUGUGGGUGUUUGUAGGUACCAUAUGAAUAAGGACCGGCUAAUUCCGUGCCAGCAGCAGC